rnacentral:rRNA from 1 species
AUUGAACGCUGGCGGCAGGCCUAACACAUGCAAGUCGAGCGGAUGACAGGAGCUUGCUCCUGGAUUCAGCGGCGGACGGGUGAGUAAUGCCUAGGAAUCUGCCUGGUAGUGGGGGACAACGUUUCGAAAGGAACGCUAAUACCGCAUACGUCCUACGGGAGAAAGCAGGGGACCUUCGGGCCUUGCGCUAUCAGAUGAGCCUAGGUCGGAUUAGCUAGUUGGUGAGGUAAUGGCUCACCAAGGCGACCAUACGUAACUGGUCUGAGAGGAUGAUCAGUCACACUGGAACGGAGACACGGUCCAGACUCCUACGGGAGGCAGAAGUGGGGAAUAUUGGACAAUGGGCGAAAGCCUGAUCCAGCCAUGCCGCGUGUGUGAAGAAGGUCUUCGGAUUGUAAAGCACUUUAAGUUGGGAGGAAGGGUUGUAGAUUAAUACUCUGCAAUUUUGACGUUACCGACAGAAGAAGCACCGGCUAAUUUCGUGCCAGCCGCCGCGGUAAUAC